AUUGAACGCUGGCGGCAGGCCUAACACAUGCAAGUCGAGCGGCAGCGGGAAAGUAGCUUGCUACUUUUGCCGGCGAGCGGCGGACGGGUGAGUAAUGCCUGGGAAAUUGCCCAGUCGAGGGGGAUAACAGUUGGAAACGACUGCUAAUACCGCAUACGCCCUACGGGGGAAAGCAGGGGACCUUCGGGCCUUGCGCGAUUGGAUAUGCCCAGGUGGGAUUAGCUAGUUGGUGAGGUAAUGGCUCACCAAGGCGACAAUCCCUAGCUGGUCUGAGAGGAUGAUCAGCCACACUGGAACUGAGACACGGUCCAGACUCCUACGGGAGGCAGCAGUGGGGAAUAUUGCACAAUGGGGGAAACCCUGAUGCAGCCAUGCCGCGUGUGUGAAGAAGGCCUUCGGGUUGUAAAGCACUUUCAGCGAGGAGGAAAGGUUGAUGCCUAAUACGUAUCAACUGUGACAUUACUCGCAGAAGAAGCACCGGCUAACUCCGUGCCAGCCGCCGCCGUAAAAC
rnacentral:rRNA from 1 species